rnacentral:lncRNA from 1 species
UGCCUGUCGUUUUUUCAACAAUGGUAUCAGAGCCUAGGUUCUAUUAUAACAUGUAUAUGUAAGCAUGUAGAAUUAAAAUUAUGAUUUUGAUUGUAGCAUAAUUUGAUUACGAUAAGAUCUGGCAUGAUUUAGAUUAGAUCUAAAUUUUUCAUAUGUGAUAUGAUUAGAUUAGAAGCCUAUUAGCCAAGUAAUCGGAUUGAACAUUCAUGGCCGUCCAAUCAUAGGAGAAAGUAGGGUUUCAUAACCCUCUCCUCCCAUCCUAUGGGGAUCUCCUAUGGCGUGUAAGGAUGCUACUGGCUCAUGAAGAUAAAAUACGAAAAAGUUCAAAACUUACUUUUCUGUAAAAUCUUAGUUUUUGAAAUCCUAGGUUUUGGUUGGAUGUGAUACAAAAUGAAUGAAAAGUGAAUUAUCUAAUCUAAAGAAUUAAAAAUUAUUUUAAUCAAGAAAAAUAAAAUCUAAAAUCAUAAAAUCUUCAUAUAUGAUCUAAAAAUUGAUUUAUGAUUGAUUUUAUUUCAGAAUAUGCAAAGUUUUUAUGUGCUGAAACUC